AUUGAACGCUGGCGGCAGGCCUAACACAUGCGAGUCGAGCGGAUGAAGGGAGCUUGCUCCUGGAUUCAGCGGCGGACGGGUGAGUAAUGCCUAGGAAUCUGCCUGGUAGUGGGGGAUAACGUCCGGAAACGGGCGCUAAUACCGCAUACGUCCUGAGGGAGAAAGUGGGGGAUCUUCGGACCUCACGCUAUCAGAUGAGCCUAGGUCGGAUUAGCUAGUUGGUGGGGUAAAGGCCUACCAAGGCGACGAUCCGUAACUGGUCUGAGAGGAUGAUCAGUCACACUGGAACGGAGACACGGUCCAUACUCCUACGGGAGGCAGCAGUGGGGAAUAUUGGACAAUGGGGGAAAGCCUGAUCCAGCCAUGCCGCGUGUGUGAGGAAGGUCUUCUGAUUGUAAAACACUUUAAGUUGGGAGGAAGGGCAGUAAGUUAAUACCUUGCUGUUUUGACGUUACCAACAGAAUAAGCACCGGCUAACUUCGUG
rnacentral:rRNA from 1 species